rnacentral:rRNA from 1 species
GAAGUGUGGACGCCAGUCUGCAUGGAGCCGACCUUGAAAUACCACCCUUUAAUGUUUGAUGUUCUAACGUGGACCCGUGAUCCGGGUUGCGGACAGUGUCUGGUGGGUAGUUUGACUGGGGCGGUCUCCUCCUAAAGAGUAACGGAGGAGCACGAAGGUUGGCUAAUCCUGGUCGGACAUCAGGAGGUUAGUGCAAUGGCAUAAGCCAGCUUGACUGCGAGCGUGACGGCGCGAGCAGGUGCGAAAGCAGGUCAUAGUGAUCCGGUGGUUCUGAAUGGAAGGGCCAUCGCUCAACGGAUAAAAGGUACUCCGGGGAUAACAGGCUGAUACCGCCCAAGAGUUCAUAUCGACGGCGGUGUUUGGCACCUCGAUGUCGGCUCAUCACAUCCUGGGGCUGAAGUAGGUCCCAAGGGUAUGGCUGUUCGCCAUUUAAAGUGGUACGCGAGCUGGGUUUAGAACGUCGUGAGACAGUUCGGUCCCUAUCUGCCGUGGGCGCUGGAGAACUGAGGGGGGCUGCUCCUAGUACGAGAGGACCGGAGUGGACGCAUCACUGGUGUUCGGGUUGUCAUGCCAAUGGCACUGCCCGGUAGCUAAAUGCGGAAGAGAUAAGUGCUGAAAGCAUCUAAGCACGAAACUUGCC